rnacentral:ncRNA from 1 species
AAAAAUCCCAUGAUGAAGAGAGUAGUCAUAUCAAGUUCAUCUAUCAGCGAUUUAGGAAUGGUGGAAGCCUAAAAUGAACGGAAUGAUGAAGCGCACUUUCUAGGAGCAUGCCUGAAAAUUUUUCCAGUAGGGCAUGCCGGCCGGCUGUCCGUUAAUACGCUGCGAGUGGUUCAGAAAUGAACAAUCAGAGUGGUACCGCGGGAAAACGCCCGUCUCUUUU